ACGGGGGGUGCAAGCGUUGUUCGGAAUCAUUGGGCGUAAAGCGCGUGUAGGCGGCUGGACAAGUCAGAUGUGAAAGCCCUGGGCUUAACCCAGGAAGUGCAUUUGAAACUGUUAGGCUAGAGUAAGGGAGAGGAAGGUGGAAUUCCUGGUGUAGAGGUGAAAUUCGUAGAUAUCAGGAGGAACACCGGUGGCGAAGGCGACUUUCUGGACGGAUACUGACGCUGAGACGCGAAAGCGUGGGUAGCAAACAG
rnacentral:rRNA from 1 species